UACGUAGGGUGCGAGCGUUGUCCGGAAUUAUUGGGCGUAAAGGGCUCGUAGGCGGUUUUGUCGCGUCGGGGAGUGAAAACUCAGGGCUUAACCCUGAGCCUGCUCCCGAUACGGGCAGACUAGAGGUAUGCAGGGGGAGAACGGAAUUCCUGGUGUAGCGGUGAAAUGCGCAGAUAUCAGGAGGAACACCGGUGGCGAAGGCGGUCUCUGGGCAUUACCUGACGCUGAGGAGCGAAAGUGUGGGGAGCGAACAGG
rnacentral:rRNA from 1 species